rnacentral:rRNA from 1 species
CUACGUGCCAGCAGCCGCGGUAAUACGUAGGGUGCGAGCGUUGUCCGGAAUUACUGGGCGUAAAGGGCUCGUAGGUGGUUUGUCGCGUCGUCUGUGAAAUUCCGGGGCUUAACUCCGGGCGUGCAGGCGAUACGGGCAUAACUUGAGUACUGUAGGGGUAACUGGAAUUCCUGGUGUAGCGGUGAAAUGCGCAGAUAUCAGGAGGAACACCGAUGGCGAAGGCAGGUUACUGGGCAGUUACUGACGCUGAGGAGCGAAAGCAUGGGUAGCGAACAGGAUUAGAUACCCUGGUAGUCCAUGCCGUAAACGGUGGGCGCUAGGUGUGAGGGUCUUUUCACGACUUUCGUGCCGUAGCUAACGCAUUAAGCGCCCCGCCUGGGGAGUAUGGCCGCAAGGCUAAAACUCAAAGGAAUUGACGGGGGCCCGCACAAGCGGCGGAGCAUGUGGAUUAAUUCGAUGCAACGCGAAGAACCUUACCUGGGCUUGACAUACACUGGAUCGCUGCAGAGAUGUAGUUUCCCUUUGUGGCUGGUGUACAGGUGGUGCAUGGUUGUCGUCAGCUCGUGUCGUGAGAUGUUGGGUUAAGUCCCGCAACGAGCGCAACCCUUGUCUUAUGUUGCCAGCAUUUGGUUGGGGACUCAUGAGAGACUGCCGGGGUCAACUCGGAGGAAGGUGGGGAUGACGUCAAAUCAUCAUGCCCCUUAUGUCCAGGGCUUCACACAUGCUACAAUGGUCGGUACAACGCGCAGCGACACUGUGAGGUGGAGCGAAUCGCUGAAAGCCGGCCUUAGUUCGGAUUGGGGUCUGCAACUCGACCCCAUGAAGUCGGAGUCGCUAGUAAUCGCAGAUCAGCAAUGCUGUGGUGAAUACGUUCCCGGGCCUUGCACACACCGCCCGU